UCAGUUCGUACCGUAAGGCGUUCUGUUAAGUCAGAUAACGAACGAGACCUCCGUCACCAUUUGCUAUCCUCUUCUCCGGAAGGGGAGCACUAUGGUGGUACCGCCACUGUUAAAGUGGAGGAAGGAGGGGGCAACGGUAGGUCAGUAUGCCCCGAAUCUCCCGGGCUACACGCGCGCUACAAAGGGCAGGACAAUGGGCUUCGACACCGAAAGGUGAAGGCAAUCCUGAAACCUGCUCGUAAUUCGGAUUGAGGGCUGCAAUUCGCCCUCAUGAAGCUGGAAUACGUAGUAAUCGCGGGUCAACAUCCCGCGGUGAAUAUGCCCCUGCUCCUUGCACACACCGCCCGUCAAACCACCUUAGUUGGGUCUGGACGAGGGUUUGUCUUCUGACACGCUCGAAUCUGGGUUCAGCGAGGAGGGUUAAGUCGUAACAAGGUAUCCGUAGGGGAACCUGCGGAUG
rnacentral:rRNA from 1 species